AUUCCUACGGGGGGCAGCAGUGAGGAAUAUUGGUCAAUGGGCGGAAGCCUGAACCAGCCAAGUCGCGUGAGGGAAUAAGGCCCUACGGGUCGUAAACCUCUUUUGCCGGGGAGCAAAGAGCGGGACGCGUCCCGCCUCGAGAGUACCCGGAGAAAAAGCAUCGGCUAACUCCGUGCCAGCAGCCGCGGUAAUACGGAGGAUGCGAGCGUUAUCCGGAUUUAUUGGGUUUAAAGGGUGCGCAGGCGGAAGCGCAAGUCAGCGGUAAAAUUGAGAGGCUCAACCUCUUCCCGCCGU
rnacentral:rRNA from 1 species